rnacentral:rRNA from 1 species
GACGAACGCUGGUGGCGUGCUUAACAACAUUGCAAGUCGAGCGACAGCACUCUUCGGGGGUGUAUGGAGCGGCGAACGGGGUGAGUAACACGCGGGCAACCUGCCCUCAGCUUGGGGACAACUCCGGGAAACCGGGGCUAAUACCGGAUACGACCUUCCCUCGCAUGGGGGUUGGUGGAAAGUUUUUCGGAUGAGGAUGGGCCCGCGGCCUAUCAGCUUGUUGGUGGGGUGAUGGCCUACCAAGGCGACGACGGGUAGCCGGCCUGAGAGGGCGACCGGCCACACUGGGACUGAGACACGGCCCAGACUCCUACGGGAGGCAGCAGUGGGGAAUAUUGCGCAAUGGGCGGAAGCCUGACGCAGCGACGCCGCGUGAGGGAUGAAGGCCUUCGGGUUGUAAACCUCUUUCAGCAGGGACGAAGCGAGAGUGACGGUACCUGCAGAAGAAGCACCGGCCAACUACGUGCCAGCAGCCGCGGUAAUACGUAGGGUGCAAGCGUUGUCCGGAAUUAUUGGGCGUAAAGAGCUCGUAGGCGGUCUGUCGCGUCGGCUGUGAAAACUCGGGGCUCAACCCCGAGCCUGCAGUCGAUACGGGCAGACUAGAGUGCUGUAGGGGAGACUGGAAUUCCUGGUGUAGCGGUGAAAUGCGCAGAUAUCAGGAGGAACACCGGUGGCGAAGGCGGGUCUCUGGGCAGUAACUGACGCUGAGGAGCGAAAGCGUGGGGAGCGAACAGGAUUAGAUACCCUGGUAGUCCACGCCGUAAACGGUGGGUGCUAGGUGUGAGCGGUAUUCCACGCCGUUCGUGCCGCAGCUAACGCAUUAAGCACCCC